UCUAAAAUGGCAGAUUAGUGCAGUAGAUUUAAGAUUUACAAAUAAAGCCUCACACUUUUUUUAGAA
rnacentral:tRNA from 2 species